rnacentral:rRNA from 1 species
GAUGAACGCUGGCGGCGUGCCUAAUACAUGCAAGUCGAGCGACCAGACGAGGAGCUUGCUCCUCUGACGUUAGCGGCGGGCGGGUGAGUAACACGUGGAUAACCUACCUAUAAGACUGGGAUAACUUAGGGAAACCGGAGCUAAUAUCGGAUAAUAUAUUGAACCGCAUGGUUCAAUAGUGAAAGCCGGUUUUGCUGUCACUUAUAGAUGGAUCCGCGUCGCAUUAGCUAGUUGGUAAGGUAACGGCUUACCAAGGCGACGAUGCGUAGCCGACCUGAGAGGAUGAUCAGCCACACUGGAACUGAGACACGGUCCAGACUCCUACGGGAGGCAGCAGUAGGGAAUUUUGGACAAUGGGCGAAAGCCUGACGCAGCAACGCCGCGUGAGGGAUGAAGGUCUUCGGGUCGUAAACCGCUGUUGUUAGGGAAGAACAAAUCUGGAAUAAUAUAUGCACGUCUUGACGGUACCGAAUCAGAAAGCCACGGCUAACUACGUG